UCACUCGGAUUGAAGAAACUACUUCAGGAAAGCCCCAAAAGGAGAAAAGCCAGUGCUGAGUAAUUUUCCUGGGUAUGUGCCCAUCAACCCCCUCAAAAUGAGAUUGCUUCCUUUUUCCUCAAAUGCGACAAAAUUACUUAGACACGGUGAGUGCUUCUCAGGACAUGGAUCCCCUUUCUUGCUUAAGCAAGAAGAGAGAAAAGAGGCCCCACGAGUGCAUUUACAGGUGUGGACAGCGUACGGUGCUCUGUGUGACUCCUUCUGCGCCCCCAAGCGGGAGGGAAUGUUUACGAAGCUCUUACUGUGUGCCAAGCCACUUUCUGGAAUGCUUUUAAUGAAAUCCUUACCAGUUGGAAACUACUGAUGUCACUGAGGAUCGCCAGCACGCUCCAGGACUAAGGGAAAAACCCUUCACCUGUACCUAGCAGAGCAUUGCACAAAGAAUUUGAAUGCUGGACAGAUUUUUUAAAGACAGGACUGGUUUGGGGGAAAAAGCUUGGAUAUAUUUUCUAAGGGUUGAAAAAGAAUGAAUUAAAGGGGAAAAGCCACAGGACACCAGGUGUCUCAUGAAAAA